UACGAGGGGUGCAAGCGUUGCUCGGAAUUAUUGGGCGUAAAGGGUAGGUAGGUGGUCUUAUUUGUCUGGGGUGAAAGCCUUGAGCUUAACUCAAGAAGUGCCCCAGAAACGGUAAGACUAGAGUCUUGGAGAGGGUCGUGGAAUUCCCGGUGUAGCGGUGAAAUGCGUAGAGAUCGGGAGGAACACCAGCGGCGAAGGCGGCUUCCUGGCCUGUUCUUGACGCUGAGGCGCGAAAGCUAGGGUAGCAAACGGG
rnacentral:rRNA from 1 species